rnacentral:rRNA from 1 species
GAUCGAACGGCGUAGCGGCAGGCCUAACACAUGCAAGUCGAGGGGCGAGCACGGUGUAGCAAUACACUGGUGGCGACCGGCGCACGGGUGCGUAACGCGUAUGCAACCUACCCAUAACAGGGGGAUAACACUGAGAAAUUGGUACUAAUACCCCAUAACAUCAGGACCGGCAUCGGUUCUGGUUGAAAACUCCGGUGGUUAUGGAUGGGCAUGCGUUGUAUUAGCUGGUUGGUGAGGUAACGGCUCACCAAGGCAACGAUACAUAGGGGGACUGAGAGGUUAACCCCCCACAUUGGUACUGAGACACGGACCAA